CAGAACCAUCCAUAAAGAGCUUUAGGUUCGAGGUCACGACGAUUUUCACAACCUUUGAAAUCACAAAGACGUCCAGAAGUCCAAAUAUAAGGAACAUCAUCUGUGAUAAGCAGAAAAUAAUUUAUUAAUUUGUGAAGAAAUACUAUGGCUGAAGACGUGAUGUUACUUAACGUGAACUCGAAGCAUCGUCGGCAAUGGAUCAUUUGUUUCGAAAUUUCUAUAUUAUCUAGUUGGCUAAAGAACGAAAGUUAUACCAGGAAUGUCUCUCUUGUUGACGAUUUACGACAUAUAUGUCAUUAUGAGAACCUAACGUUUCGAUUGCGAAAGGAUUGUUCGUAUUCAGCAGUACUAUUACAAGUCAUCAUGAUUUCGCAUAUAUAUGUAUAUUCUUUUGAAUGUCAUUAAAAUUUUAAUUUUUUCUACUUGAAGAAUUGAUAAUUUUCAUAAAUAAUAUUAGGUAAAUAAGAAAGCUCAA